rnacentral:lncRNA from 1 species
CCUCUAAAGUGUUAGUUAUUUUUAAAAAAAUUGUUUGAAAAACAGUGGGUAUUUAAUUGGGAACCUGUUCGCAUGCUGCAAAAGUGUAAAAUUCAUAUUGAUUUCAUCCUUUAAUCCAAUGUUAUACACCAUUAAUCCAUUGAUAUAUACAACAUGAAUCCAUUUAUAUACAACAUUAAUCCUCCAUAUAUACAACAUUAAUAUAU